rnacentral:rRNA from 1 species
AUUGAACGCUGGCGGCAUGCCUUACACAUGCAAGUCGAACGGCAGCGGGGACUUCGGUCCGCCGGCGAGUGGCGAACGGGUGAGUAAUGUAUCGGAACGUACCAUUCAGUGGGGGAUAACUAUCCGAAAGGAUAGCUAAUACCGCAUAUUCUGUGAGCAGGAAAGCAGGGGAUCGCAAGACCUUGCGCUGAUUGAGCGGCCGAUAUCAGAUUAGCUAGUUGGUGAGGUAACGGCUCACCAAGGCUACGAUCUGUAGCGGGUCUGAGAGGAUGAUCCGCCACACUGGGACUGAGACACGGCCCAGACUCCUACGGGAGGCAGCAGUGGGGAAUUUUGGAAAAUGGGCGCAAGCCUGAUCCAGCCAUGCCGCGUGAGUGAAGAAGGCCUUCGGGCUGUAAAGCUCUUUCGGCCGGGAAGAAAUCGCAUCAGCUAAUACCUGGUGUGGAUGACGGUACCGGAAUAAGAAGCACCGGCUAACUACGUGCCAGCCGCCGCCGUAACAC